UACGUAGGUGGCAAGCGUUGUCCGGAAUUAUUGGGCGUAAAGCGCGCGCAGGCGGUCUCGUAAGUCUGAUGUGAAAGCCCACGGCUCAACCGCGAGCGGCCAUUGGAAACUGGGAGACUUGAGUAUAGGAGAGGAAAGUGGAAUUCCACGUGUAGCGGUGAAAUGCGUAGAUAUGUGGAGGAACACCAGUGGCGAAGGCGACUUUCUGGCCUAUAACUGACGCUGAGGCGCGAAAGCGUGGGGAGCAAACAGG
rnacentral:misc_RNA from 1 species